AGUGAACGCUGGCGGUAGGCCUAACACAUGCAAGUCGAACGGCAGCACAGUAAGAGCUUGCUCUUACGGGUGGCGAGUGGCGGACGGGUGAGGAAUACAUCGGAAUCUACUUUUUCGUGGGGGAUAACGUAGGGAAACUUACGCUAAUACCGCAUACGACCUACGGGUGAAAGCAUGGGAUCUUCGGACCUUGCGCGAUUGAAUGAGCCGAUGUCGGAUUAGCUAGUUGGCGGGGUAAAGGCCCACCAAGGCGACGAUCCGUAGCUGGUCUGAGAGGAUGAUCAGCCACACUGGAACUGGGACACGGUCCAGACUCCUACGGGAGGCAGCAGUGGGGAAUAUUGGACAAUGGGCGCAAGCCUGAUACAGCCAUACCGCGUGGGUGAAGAAGGCCUUCGGGUUGUAAAGCCCUUUUGUUGGGAAAGAAAAGCAGCAGGUUAAUACCCCGCUGUUCUGACGGUACCCAAAGAAUAAGCACCGGCUAACUUCGUG
rnacentral:rRNA from 1 species